rnacentral:rRNA from 1 species
UCGUCACACUAUCAUUAACUGAAUCCAUAGGUUAAUGAGGCGAACCGGGGGAACUGAAACAUCUAAGUACCCCGAGGAAAAGAAAUCAACCGAGAUUCCCCCAGUAGCGGCGAGCGAACGGGGAGGAGCCCAGAGCCUGAAUCAGCAUGUGUGUUAGUGGAAGCGUCUGGAAAGGCGCGCGAUACAGGGUGACAGCCCCGUACACAAAAGCGCAUGUGCUGUGAGCUCGAUGAGUAGGGCGGGACACGUGGUAUCCUGUCUGAAUAUGGGGGGACCAUCCUCCAAGGCUAAAUACUCCUGACUGACCGAUAGUGAACCAGUACCGUGAGGGAAAGGCGAAAAGAACCCCGGCGAGGGGAGUGAAAAAGAACCUGAAACCGUGUACGUACAAGCAGUGGGAGCACAGGUUUACCUGUGUGACUGCGUACCUUUUGUAUAAUGGGUCAGCGACUUAUAUUCUGUAGCAAGGUUAACCGAAUAGGGGAGCCGUAGGGAAACCGAGUCUUAAUUGGGCGUUAAGUUGCAGGGUAUAGACCCGAAACCCGGUGAUCUAGCCAUGGGCAGGUUGAAGGUUGGGUAACACUAACUGGAGGACCGAACCGACUAAUGUUGAAAAAUUAGCGGAUGACCUGUGGCUGGGGGUGAAAGGCCAAUCAAACCGGGAGAUAGCUGGUUCUCCCCGAAAGCUAUUUAGGUAGCGCCUCGUGAAUUCAUCUCCGGGGGUAGAGCACUGUUUCGGCUAGGGGGCCAUCCCGGCUUACCAACCCGAUGCAAACUGCGAAUACCGGAGAAUGUUAUCACGGGAGACACACGGCGGGUGCUAACGUCCGUCGUGAAGAGGGAAACAACCCAGACCGCCAGCUAAGGUCCCAAAGUCAUGGUUAAGUGGGAAACGAUGUGGGAAGGCCCAGACAGCCAGGAUGUUGGCUUAGAAGCAGCCAUCAUUUAAAGAAAGCGUAAUAGCUCACUGGUCGAGUCGGCCUGCGCGGAAGAUGUAACGGGGCUAAACCAUGCACCGAAGCUGCGGCAGCGACAC